AGCACACACUCUGGAGAGACCGGUCGGCCCGCAUGGGUCGGCACCGGCGCCGAAGGGGCACGAAGCGGCAGUCGGCGCGCUUCCAAACUCUCAGGCAAAAGGACAGAGGGGCGCGA
rnacentral:ncRNA from 2 species